GGCGAACGCUGACGGCGUGCCUAACACAUGCAAGUCGAACGGAGUUUACUUAUUAGAUCCCUUCGGGGUGACGAUUUGUAAACUUAGUGGCGGACGGGUGAGUAACGCGUGAGUAACCUGCCUUACAGAGGGGGACAACAGUUGGAAACGACUGCUAAUACCGCAUAACAUAUUUUGAGGGCAUCCUCGGGAUAUCAAAGGAGCAAUCCGCUGUAAGAUGGACUCGCGUCCAAUUAGAUAGUUGGUGGGGUAACGGCCCACCAAGUCGACGAUUGGUAGCCGGACUGAGAGGUUGAACGGCCACAUUGGGACUGAGACACGGCCCAG
rnacentral:rRNA from 1 species